GCCCUUGCGGAUCCGCGGGCUCAGAGUUUGAUCCUGGCUCAGAACGAACGUUGGCGGCGUGGAUUAGGCAUGCAAGUCGGGGGAAUCCCAGCAAUGGGGGAACCGGCGUAAGGGGCAGUAAGGCGUGGGUACCUACCCCGGGGUUCGGGAUAGCUGUCCGAGAGGGCAGGUAAUACCGGAUGACCUGGCGACAGCAAAGAUUUAUCGCCCUGGGAGGGGCCCACGUGAUAUUACCUAGUUGGCGGGGUAACGGCCCACCAAGGGGAAGAUGUCUAGCGGGUGUGAGAGCACGACCCGCGCCACUGGCACUGAGACACUGGCCAGACACCUACGGGUGGCUGCAGUCGAGGAUCUUCGGCAAUGGGCGCAAGCCUGACCGAGCGACGCCGCGUGGGCGAUGAAGGCCUUCGGGUUGUAAAGCCCUGUCGGGGAGGAGAAAAGCCGAAAGGUUUGAUCUAUUCCCGGAGGAAGCACGGGCUAAGUUCGUGCCAGCAGCCGCGGUAAGACGAACCGUGCGAACGUUGUUCGGAAUCACUGGGCUUAAAGGGCGCGUAGGCGGGCCUUCAAGUCCGGGGUGAAAGCCUCCAGCCUAACUGGAGAAGAGCCUCGGAGACUGAGGGCCUCGAGGAGGGUAGGGGCAAGCGGAACUAUGGGUGGAGCGGUGAAAUGCAUUGAUAUCCAUAGGAACUCCGGUGGCGAAAGCGGCUUGCUGGACCCUUUCUGACGCUGAGGCGCGAAAGCCAGGGGAGCAAACGGGAUUAGAUACCCCGGUAGUCCUGGGCCCUAAACGUUGGGGACUAGGUAGUCGACCAGACAUGGGUUGACUGCCGGAGCAAAGUGCUAAGUCCCCGCCUGGGGAGUAUGGUCGCAAGGCUGAAACUCAAAGGAU
rnacentral:rRNA from 1 species